UACAGAGGGUGCGAGCGUUGUCCGGAAUCACUGGGCGUAAAGCGUGCGCAGGCGGUUAUGUAAGCACAGGUGUGAAAUCCCCGGGCUUAACCUGGGAACUGCAUUUGUGACUGCAUAGCUAGAGUACGGUAGAGGGGAUGGAAUUCCGCGUGUAGCAGUGAAAUGCGUAGAUAUGCGGAGGAACACCGAUGGCGAAGGCAAUCCCCUGGACCUGUACUGACGCUCAUGCACGAAAGCGUGGGGAACAACAGG
rnacentral:rRNA from 1 species